CCUACGGGAGGCAGUAGUGAGGAAUAUUGGUCAAUGGACGAGAGUCUGAACCAGCCAAGUAGCGUGAAGGAUGACUGCCCUAUGGGUUGUAAACUUCUUUUAUAUGGGAAUAAAAUGUUCCACGUGUGGCAUUUUGUAUGUACCAUAUGAAUAAGGAUCGGCUAACUCCGUGCCAGCAGCCGCGGUAAUACGGAGGAUCCGAGCGUUAUCCGGAUUUAUUGGGUUUAAAGGGAGCGUAGAUGGGUUGUUAAGUCAGUUGUGAAAGUUUGCGGCUCAACCGUAAAAUUGCAAUUGAUACUGGGAGUCUUGAGUACAGUUGAGGUAGGCGGAAUUCGUGGUGUAGCGGUGAAAUGCUUAGAUAUCACGAAGAACUCCGAUUGCGAAGGCAGGUUACUAAACUUCCACUGACAUUGAUGCUCGAAAGUGUGGGUAGCGAACAGGAUUAGAUACCCGGGUAGUC
rnacentral:rRNA from 1 species